rnacentral:rRNA from 1 species
UACGAAGGGGGCUAGCGUUGCUCGGAAUUACUGGGCGUAAAGCGCGUGUAGGCGGUUGUCCAAGUUGGAUGUGAAAGCCUUGAGCUUAACUCAAGAAAUGCAUUCAGGACUGGAUGACUAGAGGACCGGAGAGGAUAGUGGAAUUCCCAGUGUAGUGGUGAAAUACGUAGAGAUUGGGAAGAACACCAGUGGCGAAGGCGGCUAUCUGGACGGUUUCUGACGCUAAGACGCGAAAGCGUGGGGAGCAAACAGG